rnacentral:rRNA from 1 species
AUACAGAGGGUGCGAGCGUUAAUCGGAAUUACUGGGCGUAAAGCGUACGUAGGCGGUUCGUUAAGUUAGAUGUGAAAGCCCCGGGCUUAACCUGGGAACUGCAUUUAAAACUGGCGAACUAGAGUUGAGUAGAGGGGAGUGGAAUUUCAGGUGUAGCGGUGAAAUGCGUAGAGAUCUGAAGGAACACCAGUGGCGAAGGCGGCUCCCUGGACUCAAACUGACGCUGAGGUACGAAAGCGUGGGUAGCAAACGGGAUUAGAUACCCUAGUAGUCC